GACGAACGCUGGCGGCGUGCUUAACACAUGCAAGUCGAGCGGUAAGGCCCUUUCGGGGGUACGACGAGCGGCGAACGGGUGAGUAACACGUGGGUGACCUCGCCCUCAGCUCUGGGAGUAAGCCCGGGAAACGUGGGUCUAAUACUGGAUAUGACUCCAUGACGCAUGUUGUGGGGUGGAAAGCCUUGUGCGGCUGAGGA
rnacentral:rRNA from 1 species